UCACCCUUCCCAUCCGCCGCAGAGGCUUCACCCUGAAACGGUUCUUCAACCAUAAACUUCCACUUCUCCCCUUCAUCCCUUUCACACUUAUUGUGUCUCUUCAAAACGUUGCACCUUCUUACAUUGGUCGCCAUCGCUUUACAUAUUAAAGCAUGGACUACUCUGUUUCUCCAAAUUACUUCCUAUUCUCACAUCAUCUCCCUUCUUCUGCUCACCAACUUCCACUUCUGUGCCUUCCUUCUACUAAAAAUCCCUCUUUAAUCAAAUCCAGAAGUUCUCCACCGCUGCGUUUGAAGUUUCUCUCAAUGCCGCACAGGCCCUACUAAUUAAAAACAACAGAAAAAAUACAUGACUUUGGUACUAAGAAAUAGUCUACUGUUGUCCUUUCAAUGAAGAACUGAAGGCUGAGAUUAGUAAAGGAUAGCAUGCCAAAAAUUACACGUCAACAAUAAUAAUGACCAGGUAUAUAUAUAAUUGAGUUCCAGAAAUGUGGCUUGUCGCAUGCACAUAUACUUCUCUUCCUUCAUAAAACAUCAAAAAGCCCACCCAGAUCAUGUUGUCAUUCAAGCUUAACAGAUGCUGACUUCCUUUGGCACCCUGUUAUGCUAUGACAAUACAUAAGAGCCAAGGGCAAACUCUUCAUAGGGUUGGGUUGUAUCUUCCAAAUAGGUAUUCAUACAUAAGCAAUUAUAUAACGCAGUAUCACAGGUAAUAACAAAGAGAAGUAUUAACAAUCCUCAAUGUGGACGAGGACACAAAAGACCGAGAUUUAUUAAAAAUAUUAUCUAUAAAGAACUUUGUACUGAUGGAAGUAAGGAAUGAUGUUGUAAAAAGGGAGCUAUUGUUCUAUGUGCCUGGUAAUUUGUGAAAUGGGUUGACCAUCAACUGAAAAAAAUGAGAGCUUUUCUUUACUUCAAUUCUGAAAAGAGGGGCAUUUUCACCUUUUUGGUUUAAUUAAUGUGUCAAUGAGCUAUUUCAUCUUGUUGCAUGCGCUUGCUUAGUGUUGUUUACUUCUUUGUGUGGUUUGCGAGCUAUUGCACAAGAGUGAGGUGUAAGGUUUACCCUGUGUGCACCCAAAGGAUAGUGGUUGUGGGUUCCCUUGCCAUAAAAAAAGGAGCUACUUCAUCUUUCAUAUCUGAUUAAAGUUCUUAUUUAUGGAAGCCUGGGGGUGUAUUUCCCCUUUUGUUUCAUUUUAGAUGUAGUAGGGAGGAAAUCUUUGGGUUUUGAAGUGAAAUCUUAAUAUUUUUGAGAGUUGAAUAAUAAAUAUUUGUGUAUGUUUUGGACUUGGCAUGGAGUUCUGCCGAGAGAUUUUGAAACUUGUUGAAAAUAGGACAUAUAGGGCUCACUGAUGUUCCUUUGGAGCCCUGUAUUGAACUUCAACAAUGAAUAUUGUCCAUCUUUAACCUUUAGUUCUUCAUCAUUCAUAUUUAGAUGCUUGAGACUACAGGUCAGCUAUUCUAGUUUCUGAAAGUUGGUUCAGAGUUUUCUUAGUAUCUAUA